rnacentral:rRNA from 1 species
AGAGCGAACGCUGGCGGCAGGCCUAAAACAUGCAAGUCGAACGCCCGUAGCAAUACGGGAGUGGCAGACGGGUGAGUAACACGUGGGAACGUGCCUUUUGGUUCGGAACAACACAGGGAAACUUGUGCUAAUACCGGAUAAGCCCUUACGGGGAAAGAUUUAUCGCCAAGAGAUCGGCCCGCGUCUGAUUAGCUAGUUGGUGAGGUAACGGCUCACCAAGGCUACGAUCAGUAGCUGGUCUGAGAGGAUGAUCAGCCACACUGGGACUGAGACACGGCCCAGACUCCUACGGGAGGCAGCAGUUAGGAAUCUUGGACAAUGGGCGCAAGCCUGAUCCAGCCAUGCCGCGUGAGUGAUGAAGGCCUUAGGGUUGUAAAGCUCUUUCAGCGGGAAGAUAAUGACGGUACCGCAGAAGAGCCCGGCUAACUUCGUGCCAGCAGCCGC